GUAGUUAGCCGGGGCUUCCUCCUUGGCUACCGUCACUUUCUUCGUCACCAAGGACAGAGGUUUACAACCCGAAAGCCUUCUUCCCUCACGCGGCGUUGCUGGGUCAGGCUUGCGCCCAUUGCCCAAUAUUCCCCACUGCUGCCUCCCGUAGGAGUCUGGACCGUGUCUCAGUUCCAGUGUGGCCGAUCAGCCUCUCAGCUCGGCUACCCAUCGCAGGCUUGGUGGGCUGUUAUCUCACCAACUACCUAAUGGGACGCGAACCCCUCCUUCAGCGGAUUGCUCCUUUGACCUCAUCCCGAUGCCGGGUCGUGGUCUUAUGCGGUAUUAGCACUUGUUUCCAGGUGUUAUCCCCCUCUGAAGGUCAGGUUGUUCACGCGUUACUCACCCGUUCGCCACUAAAAUUUAUCUUCCAUCCGAAAACUUCCGAUAAAUCUCCGUUCGACUUGCAUGUGUUAGGCACGCCGCCAGCGUUCGUCCUGAGCCAUAAUCAAACUCUGA
rnacentral:rRNA from 1 species